GGGGGCAUAGCUCAGUGGUAGAGUGCUUGCCUAGCACGCUUGAAGCCCUGAAUUCAAUUUGCAGUACACUAA
rnacentral:tRNA from 1 species